GAACAGAUGCAGGGGAAAAUAUCCCAGGCAGAGUUCUCCAUAUCUAUUAAUAGAACAUGAGCCCAGAUGUGGUCAUAAGAUCUUCUGGUAUCAGAAUGUGAUCUGGGGAUGGGACUUCCGGCUACAAAUGGGAGGAGUCACACUAAAUAUUUAGGUUCCCUGGUGAUCAAGUAAAUGAACACAGCAAUGUGAUGCCACGUAGCAUCAUCAAAAUGUGUUUUGUUUUGUUUUGUUUUGUUUUGAAAUGCUAGUAUCCAGUCUUGGCAAGAAUGAAGGGAAAAAGACUCUCCUGUGGCAUGGGUGGAAAUCUUUAUUGAAUGCAAUCUUUUGUGAAAUUCGACUUUAAUUCUUUCAUUUAAAAAACAGACCCUGUUUAUCGAGCCCUUGUUCUGUGUAAGACAUUGUUCUAGGAGCUGUAAAUACAGCAGUGAACAAAAUGGACUAAGCCCCUGCCUGCUUGGAGCUGACGUUCUAGGGAGGAGGAAGAGACAUGAAUAAACAAGUGCACAUGCAGAGUGUCACGUGGAGAGGAGUGUGACAGAGGUGGCGGGGGCGGGGGGGGGAGGGCAUGUUGUUUUGUACAGAUGAGUGAUGGAGAUGCUAACUGAGAUGCUGACCUUGGGCGGAGGUCUGUAGGAAGUGGGGGGAGAGCCACGUGGACAUCCAGAGAAGACUGCUCCAGCAAGAAUCAAGUUUUGAGUUUGGACUAUUUGGUGUGUUAGAGCAACAGUGAGGAGACCAGUGUGGCUGUAGUGAGGUGAUUGAGGGGGAGGAAGGGGAUGCCUUAGAGCAGGAUCUGUUUCAGUUUACCACUGUCAUUAUCUCUGUCCCUAUUUUUUAAUAUUUUUUAUUUAUAUAUUUUGGCUGCACCCAUGCCUGUGGAAGUUCCUGUUCUAGGGAUUGAACCUGGGCCCCAGCAGCAACCCAAGGUGCUGCAGUGACAACACCGGGAUCCUUAACUCAUUCCACCACAAUAGAACUCCCUGUCCCUAUUUUUAUUUUUAUUUUUAUUUCGUCUUUUUAGGGCCGCACCCGAGCAUAUGGAGGUUCCCAGGCUAGGUGUCUAAUUGGAGCUGUAGCUGCCGGCCUACACCACAGCCACAGGAACGCCAGGUCCGAGCCGUGCCUGUGACCUAUGCUGCAGCUCACAGCAAUGCCAGAUCCUUAACUCACUGAUCAAGGCCAGGGAUCGAACCUACAAUCUCAUGGUUCCUAGUUGGAUUCGUUUCCGCUGCACCAUGACAGGAACUCCCCUGUCCUUAUUUUUAAAAGAAGGUGCAAGUGUUCCUGCUGUGGUCUGACAGGUUUAGCGGCCACUCUGGAGCCCUGGAAUGGAAGUUUGAUCCAUGGCCAGCCCUGGCACAGUAGCUUGAGGAUCUGGUGUUGUAGCAGCUGCAGGGUAGGUUGUAACUGUGCUUCUGAUCUGAUCCCUGACCCUGGAACUCCACAUGCCUGGGGUUAGCCAAAAAAGGAAAAAUUAAAAAAAGAAGGUACAAAUCCUUGUAUUUUAAGAAAUAUCCCAUCCUAAGGAGCAUAUUAAUUAUUUGUGUGAGAAGAAGGAACUCUAUUAGAGUGUUUGGGGAAAAAAAAGAAACAACAAAACAAAGCAUAUCAUGGAAUAUCUAGAGUCAUUCAGAAUGAUGGUAGGAGGCACAUUAAUACGUUAGAAGGUGGGAUAAAGGUAGGGAACAUUGUCUGUAAAACAGGGCUAACAAGAGUACUUCCCUGAUAGUUUGGCUGUUAGGAAUGAAUACCACGUGUAUAUAGCACUUAGCAACAUGCCUUGCAUACAGUAAGCGCUCAAUUAAUGGUACUCAUGAUGACAGUUAUUGACAUCUACUAAGUUAAAAAGCAUGUGAUACAGAGUAUUGUGCAUGGCAUGCUAUUUUAAAAGCUGUACCCUAAUAUUCGAGUGGUUAUCUGUGGAUGAUAAGCUGUGAGUGAAUUUCAGUCUCUCCUCUAUACUUAACCUGUGUGGCCUAAUAUUUCUUUAACAAAUGUGCAUUACUUGGAUGCUGAACAUUUUAAGUAGUAGGAUGUGGUAGAUCAGUGAACAAUUCUUGGGAGAAAAAAGACCUGAAGCAGAGACACGUGCUUUAAUGCAGUUUGCUAAAUUUGUUCUAAAGUCAUUUGUUCCAAAUCAAAUUUAAAUGGACUCAGUUUUUUUUUGUUUAAUUCUUUUGCUUGACCUUGGCCUGAGCGAUAAUACUCAUAAAAACCAAACAUGUGAUAAGUACUUUCUACUUUGCAAUGCACACUAAACUAGUGAUCAUGCCCUUAAAAGAAAAGCUGGACCACCUUUGAAUCACCUGGAAUCAUUGCACAUACGUGUGGCCACGAUUUCAAAAGGACAGGUUGAGUGGCUGCCACCUGGGAAUCACAGGACUUUAGCUUUGUCUCUAAGAGUCACUUUUUAAUUUGAGGGUAAUCACAUCCCUUCUCUGCAUCUCAGUUUCCUCGGUUUUGAAAUGAGGGCUUGAGAUUCAGUCGGGGUCCCAAGCAACCCUCAGAGGCCCACUGUGGCAGCAGGAGGGCUUCAGCAGGUGGGACGGACUUCGUGUCCAUCUUCACCUUGCUCUGCACCCAGAACAGUUCUACUUUAUCUGCUUUGCUUUAUUACUCUUGGACAAGAGCAGAGUAAGGGAUGGCAAGGCUUUAAGAAAUAAUGACGUGAUAGCACUGGUUUCAACGCUCAAUGGUCUCUUUUUAAAGGGGACUUACAAAUGGCAGAGUUUGUCCUAGAUUAAGGCCUUGCCCCAAGCUCUUGGGAAGACUGUGGAUGACUCUGACAUAUUCCCAAGGGCUUGGUGGGAAGCAAGGCAUCCGUAAGACUGUAUCUUAACCAUCUUUGUAAUCACCGCACAUGACAUAUAAUUGCCAUCACCAAAGUAAAUGAAUUCAAGAAAGUUUGAGGAAAGCGAAAUGGUUUUUUAAAAAUGAUUUUUGUUUUUUCCAUUAUAGUUGGUUUACAGUGUUCUGUCAAUUUUCUACCGUACAGCAAAGUGACCCAGUCACACGUACAUACAUACAUUUUUUUCUCACAUUAUCAUGCUCCAUCAUAAGUGACUAGCUAUAGUUCCAGUGUUAUACAGCAGGAUCUCAUUGCUUAUCCACUCCAAAGGCAAUAGUUUCCAGGAAAUGGAAUGUGUUUAUAGGAAACCUCAGGAGGGAAAAUGUGCUAAGCCAAGUUGCCCAGGAAAGACUUGGCACAGGCGAUGGCACAGGAGGGAAGGGUCUGUCCUCACGGAUGAGGCAAGGGGGCAUUCCACAUAGAGGAAGUGGGAGACACCAAGACACGACCCCAAGCAUGUGUCUGUUUUUUUGUCACAGAACCAUAGGAUGUUGGAACUGAGCUACAAGGGACCUUAGUGGGAUCCAUCGUAUCUGACCCUCCCUCUUUUUUUCAGAUAAAGAAACUAAGGUUCUGACAUGGGAAAUGUCCUGACAAAGGCCACCGUCUUUAUUAGUGGGCUUAUUAAACCUAAAACGCCUGACGCCUGACUCCCAGACAAUAGUUUUGCUUCUGGCUGAACAUUUUCAUGUUAUUUCUUAGGGUGCGCAAACUCUUCUAAAACUCGGAGAAAACAGUGUUGUGUGGUCAAAUAAAUUUGAGAGUGGCUUCAAAUGAGUUGCCCUCUCUGGGACGUCAAAUUAUGUAUAAGCACAUUCCAGGCUCUGACAAAGUCUUGGAAUAGAGAUUUUAAAAUCUAAUUCAAGCUUUUUCAAAAUGUAAACACAUAGUUUCCACUUUCUAUGUUUUUCACUUAAUUCUUAUUAAUGUUCUAUAUUGCUUACUUAAGGAAUCUCUACACUAGACAAACCUAUCUCUCAGAAAAAUAAGACUAUGAUGUGUAUGGUAAAUUUUUAUUUUAUUUUUAUUUUUUAUUCAUUUAUUUGUUAGAAAUUUUACGGCCACACCUGCCACACAUGGAAGUUCCUUGCAGUUCCAAGCUGCAGCUGUGGCAUAGGUUGCAGCUGUGGCAAUGCCAGAUCCUUUGACCUACUGCUCCAGGCCAGGGAUCGAACCUGUGCCUCUGCAGUGACCAGAGCCACUGCACCACAGGGGAACUCCAGAAAAUUUUAUAUAAGCAAUUCUGGCAGUCCAUAUCAUUUCAGAGAUGAUGGCCAUAUUAAGAAAAUUAUUAUCAAAAAAAAGUAAGAAGGGAAGUUUCCUAGAUUUAAUGUUUCACCUUCCUCUCCCCCUUCCUCCUUCUCCCUCCCUCCCUUCUGCCUUCACCAUCCUACUUUCCUGCUUUUUGUAAAUCUUCCUUCUUAUUUCCCUCCUGUAUCCCUCUUUCAGCUUAUUCUGACUUCCCCCUUUCCUUUUUUUAAAGAGUUACAGUGUUUCAGAUUUGGGACUGUCUUCAGUGGAUUGGACUUUUUCCUGAUCUGAAGUUCUGCUGGUUUGAUAAGGAGACGGAUGCACAUCAUGAGGUCACACAGAGUAGCUGGUGCUGAAACUGGAGCAUCACGGCAUGUUAGGGUGAAGAAAGAUCUGUCUGUGUGAACCGUGAAGGUUGACCAGCCAGUUGCAUCGCUGGAGGAAGGAUAUUCUAAGGAGAAAGUGGGAGAUGAAAUAUUCCAGUCCGAGAGUACUCAGGGGUGAAGCUAGAAACGUAAGCUAGGGAUGGAAUUUAUAAAACCUUCAAACCACUACUAAGUAGUCUUUAUUGAAAACAUUGCUGAAACUCUUAAGAAGAGGGUGGACUUGAUCAGAUCUGGGAUUAAGAAAGAUGAGGAGGAGGGUGAGAGGAGCGGGGAGGGAGAGUCUGGUGGCCCCAUAGCAGGUCAUCAUAAUUGUUCAGAUGACAGAUAGAAGGUAUCCUUCCAGGCUAGGGCAGUGGCAAGGAAGUGGAUGGAUGGGGGACCUGGCAGAGGGAGGGAUGAAGAAAGGAUGACUUCCUCCAAGGUUGUGCCAGAUCUAGGCUGCUCUCUCUAAAUAGUGCUUCCAGAAACAGCAGGGUCUCAAUUAUCUCACCGUGGGCUGUGAAAUU
ensembl:lncRNA